GGGAGGGGCCGGGCGGUGGGCGGGGCGGCAGCGGGGGCUUCCUCAGGCUGUUAGCUGCGGAAUGGUGUAACUUGGCAGAGUUUUGCGUUUUAUUUAUUUAUUUAUUUAUUUAUUUAUUUAUUUAUUUAUUUAUUUCACAUUUGAUAGUGGUCGAAAGACUGACUGAAGUAGAUGUUAAGAUUUACAAUUUAGCCUGGCCAUCUGCUUCCACUCUCCUCCUUGUGGAGGCGUCUGCUGAGGCCGCCAAUGCACCGCGGUCUCCCCCCCCCGAGAUACCCAACAAAUGCAACGCUGGGCUCUGCAGUCCUUCUUUACCUUUCCGACACCAUUGCCCAGCCUGAGUAUUUGCACUUUCUCCCUGGAGUUUAGCAAAUGUCUGAGUGCAGAGAGGGAACCGGCCCACCGUCCCGAAACAGACGAAUAAAUAACUCUGGCGGCGCGCCUCAUACUAGAGCUUGUGCAAGCAAGUGGACCAGAAAUAGCUCAGGGUAGAAGACUCCCAGCGGCGCCAUAGGAAGAAUGAGGCACAAGCCAAUUUUGUACCCUGAAACGGACAUUCCCCGGCUGGAAAAAGCUUGAGUAAAAAGGAGCCAGAGUCAUCUGAAAGGAGGGAACUGCAACUGAGAAAAUGCCUGUCAUAAGAUGCUGAUCAGCUGGGCUGAAGAAUCAGCUGUGAUUCACUGAAGUCAAAUCUCCUGGGAAGUGUUUCCUCAGAAGCCGUGCUCCAGAGGUGGCCAAGGUUGAACCUCAUGCCGGCAGCCGAACUUGGUUGCGUAAGAGUGACCCAGCUGAUAACUGCUUUAAAGGUAUAAAGGGAUCAUGGACAGCAGCUGAGGCUUGACCCUGUGUGGCAGGCCUGGAGUCCCUGAAAAGAGCCCAGGAGAGGUUAAAGGUGAAAGUGCAGCCCAGCUCCUGUAGAAGAGUCCAGCAUUUUGGAGAUGCCAGUACCAGGGGACAACCUCCAAGAACAGCAGCAGGUGUGGAGUGGAGCCAGCCUGAGCCUAGAAGACAUGUUCUGUGUGCUACAGAGGACAGAGCCAGAGAAGUGACCAGGCCCUUUGGAGGAGCUCAGAAGAUCAGGAGAGACGUCCAGACAUUGGAGGCUGAGUCAUUUACUGUUGGAACUUGGUUUUGCUUUGCUCAGGCUAUCUGUGGGCUGGUUCUUCUCUCUUGAGGUAAUAAAGUAACUUAUAUUUUAUUUUACAGGAGCAAAUUUGAAUAUUUUAAAGAGACUUUGGACUUUUACUAUUUGAAUUUUAUUUAUUUAUUUCAUGUAUGUGAGUACACUGUCGCUAUCUUCAGACACACCAGAAGAGGACAUCGGAUCCUCAUUACAGAUGGUUGUGAGCCACCAUGUGGUUGCUGGGAAUUGAACUCAGGACCUCUGGAAGAGCAGUCAGUGCUCUUAACCACUGAGCCAUCUCUCCAGCCCCACUAUUUGAAUUUUUUAAAGAUUUAUUUAUUUUUA
rnacentral:lncRNA from 1 species